UCAAUUUUCACGAAAUUCACCAAAUGCCCCUCAACUUUCAGGAAUUCACCAAAUACCCCUCAACUUUAAUAUAAUACCCAAACUACCCUUAUAUUUAACGGACGUUAAGUCGCCGUUAGCUGUCUUUUACUCUUUUGCCCUUAUUCCAUCACACGUUUCCCUUAAGUCUCUCUUCUACUUUUAACGGAACAAACUCCUCACACAACUCUCACUUUCUCUCUCAUCAGCAACUAUGGCACCAAUGGCUGAGAAGAAGCUCGCUGAAAAGAAGCCCGCGGAGGAGAAGAAGGCCGCCGCCGCCGAGAAAGAUCCGGCUGAGAAGAAGAAGAAGAAGAAGGGAGGAGCAGAAGGUCGCCGCCGCCGCCGAUAAAGAUCCGGCUGAGAAGAACCAGAAGAGAGGAGAAGAAGGUCGCCGCCGCCGCCGAGAAAGAUCUGUCGAUAAAGAUCCGCCGCCGAGAAAGGAGGAGCAACGGUGAUGGGGUCGAUGUUGAUUCUUGAUGUAUGUUGACGUGAUUUAGUUUCCGUUGAAAUAUUUGUCUCAUGUGACGUCCGUUUUAGGUUUUUCGUAUUUAUUUUAUUGACAAUUUUGUCAAUUGUAAGUUUGUAACACUGGAAUGUUUUGUGGUAAUUUUUUUUGACUUUGUUAAGACCAAAAGUUUGUAAUUAUAGUAAUUGUAAUAAAUAAUUACUCUAUA